rnacentral:rRNA from 1 species
GAUGAACGCUGGCGGCGUGCCUAAUACAUGCAAGUCGAGCGAACAGACGAGGAGCUUGCUCCUCUGACGUUAGCGGCGGACGGGUGAGUAAAACGUGGAUAAACUACCUAUACGACUGGGAUAACUUCGGGAAACCGGAGCUAAUACCGGAAAAUAUAUUGAACAGCAUGGUUCAAUAGUGAAAGACGGUUUUGCUGUCACUUAUAGCUGGAUCCGCGCCGCAUUAGCUAGUUGGUAAGGUAACGGCUUACCAAGGCAACGAUGCGUAGCCGACCUGAGAGGGUGAUCGGCCACACUGUAACUGAGACACGGUCCAGACUCCUACGGGAGGCAGCAGUAGGGAAUCUUCCGCAAUGGGCGAAAGCCUGACGGAGCAACGCCGCGUGAGUGAUGAAGGUCUUCGGAUCGUAAAACUCUGUUAUUAGGGAAGAACAAAUGUGUAAGUACCUAUGCACGUCUUGACGGUACCUAAUCAGAAAGCUACGGCUAACUCCGUG